rnacentral:rRNA from 1 species
UACGGAAGGCAGCAGUGGGGAAUAUUGCACAAUGGGCGAAAGCCUGAUGCAGCUAUGCCGCGUGUAUGAAGAAGGCCUUAGGGUUGUAAAGUACUUUCAUCGGGGAGGAAAAACAAAACUAAUAAUUUUAUUUCUUGACGUUACCCGAAAAAGAAGCACCGGCUAACUCCGUGCCAGCAGCCGCGGUAAUACGGAGGGUGCUAGCGUUAAUCAGAAUUACUGGGCGUAAAGAGCACGUAGGUGGUUUUUUUAAGUCAGAUGUGAAAUCCCCUGGGUCUUAACCUAGGAACUGCAUUUUGAAACUGAAAUACUAGAGUAUCGUAGAGGGAGGUAGAAUUCUAGGUGUAGCGGUGAAAUGCGUAGAUAUCUGGAGGAAUACCUGUGGCGAAAGCGGCCUCCUAAACGAAUACUGACACUGAGGUGCGAAAGCGUGGGGAGCAAACAGGGAUUAGAUACCCGU